CAAUAUUUACCAAAACAAAAGCACACACGCGGGACAAUUAGGGCUUGCAGAGUGAGAGACAGAGACAGAUUGGGAGAGAGGGGAAUCGCAAUUGGUCUAUCAGGUUGGGGGCUUUCAGAAGCUUAAGGCCUGCAAUUGGCGUUGUGGUUGAAACGACUCUUUCCUGGGGUAAGUAUAUUUGUGUGUCUGUCUGUCUGUGAGCUAAAAGUACAGACAUUUGGAAUUUGAUCAAAUUCCUUGUCUCGGCCAAACGUGAUAUUCAAAAUCUAUGGAGUUGAACAGAUGGUUACCGUUCUUAUCUUGUUACUAUAGUUUCCCCUUCCAUAAUUCGUGAUGAUAUAAUCUAGGGUUCUACACAUCUGCUAGUUUCAAGGAUAACUGGGAUUUAUAUUCAGCCAUUGAUAGAAUACUUGAAUUUAAAACGUUAAGAUUUUUUUUCUUUUUGUUUGUUGAUUAGGUGCUUCCAAUUCCAAUGGAACAAAAAACCAGAAGGAAAAGAAAUGUUAAGUCCAGUUAUAGCUUACAAUGGUUGUGCUUUCAUUGCAGCUCGAUUUAGAAAGAAGUAAAAAUGUUCAAGAACACAUUUCAAUCCGGAUUUCUGUCAAUUCUAUACAGCCUUGGGUAUGCCGUCUUUGUCUCUUUUGUUUGAGUAUCUUUUGUUAUCCUUGCACUUGUAACUUUGAUGUUAAGCUGUGCAUUCUUUUAAAUAUGUAGGAGCAAACCGUUGCAGAUUUGGGAUAAAGAAGGUGAGUGGUUUUGGAUUUGGAAAUGUAAAACCUGUUGAUGAAAUUUUGAGAUGCUUGUUAAACUCAACUUGUUUCAAAUAUCAAUGUAAGAUGCAAUUCUGACAAUUCAGUGUUGUUUAUGCCUUUUACAUAUUUACUCCCAAAUGUCGUCUGAAUUAAAGAAGUGCCUGUAGCUUCUACAAAUCUAAAUAGUUUGAAGUGGUAGCACAAGGACGAAAUUGGUUGUAUGCUUUUUUAUAGUUUAAUACAUGAAGGUGCCCAGUCAUGGUUUAGUACUGUCUUACUCUUUGCAAUCCAUCCCUCUUUGUUUCAUCCUUGUCGUACAACUUCCGUGUUAACCCACCUGUCUUUUGUUAAGAUUGGUGACUGAUGAGCAUCUAAUCUGCUGAUAGGCGCAUUAGCUAAAAGACUAAUCUCUAAUGGAUGGAUCCCUUCGCACUGCGAUAUACCAUUAAAUUUUAGGGUCUCUUUAGGUCUGUUCAUGACAUAGUAAAUAAUGAGGCACGCGCAUGUUGGAAAGUUUGUAGAUUUGAUGUUUAUAUUGGAUGGGGCAUUGCUUGAUGCUAGAGUGGAAAUAACUAUUUUUCUACUUCAGACUGUAGUAUAAGGCGGAUGCCUUUAAGAUGUUGACAUGAUGAUGGAAUGACUUAGUGACUGGUUGAAUUUUCUAUGUUUUUCUUUUGUUGAGCAGUUGUCGACGGCCAUAUUAAAAGACCACAGGAUGAAGACAUACAAUCCAAUGUCCUUGAAAUAAUUGGUACGAACAUCCAGUCCACAUACAUUACUUGCCCAGCAGACCCAUCAGCUACACUUGGUAUAAAACUUCCAUUCCUGGUUAUGAUUGUAAAGAAUCUGAAGAAGUAUUUCACAUUUGAGAUUCAAGUUCUGGAUGACAAGAACGUCAGGAGACGUUUUCGAGCUUCCAAUUUUCAAGUGUGUUAGUUUGCCCAUGUUUAUUGAUGUUUAUCAUGCGUAAUGGUUGUUUUUCUUGUUCUGUUUUCUUUUCCUUUCCGUUGGUAUUUCAGGGCAUGUUCAGGUAAGUAAUGAAGGCUGCUGCAUAUGUUUUUCUCAAAGAUGUAUCUAUUUCACUAGCAAGUCUAAGCUUUUUUUGUUGUCUUUGAAGAUCUAUGUGGUGUAAAAUUGGUCAUAUUUCAUGCCGAAUUUUUUGUAAGUUUUUCGGGCUGCAUUAUGAACACAUUAACUAUGCCUGAUGACUUGCAUUUGUUGGACAUGUAUAUGAUUGAGGGAAAAAUCAUGUACCAAGGUUAAGUCCAAGGUUGUAGAGGAAUCUGGCUUCUAGAUAUGCCAUUGGCAGCUUCAGGAAUCAGGGGAAAAAGAAUUCAUUGAUGUUGACCGGAUAUUGCCUACUAUUUUGAGUCGAGCAGUGCAGGAUGCAAAACUCAUUGACCACUCCAGUAGAUUGUUGCUUAAUGAUUCAUAGUUUAGAAUGUUGUUAUUCUGUUUUCUGAGUUUUAUCAGUGAACAUGGUGUCUUCUGCAAAUUCCAGAUAAAUUGGACUCAUAGGAGUUUUGAGAAAUCAGCUAACCUUUACUGAACUUUAAUUGCUAUAAUCUUUUAUGUGCAAUAUUGUUUAGAUGCCAUGUACCUGACCCUGACGACUUUAUGUUUGAAGUGUUGAUGUUUUGACUGCUAGAGAAUACUGGUAUUUGAAGUGAUCGUACUGCUGUAGAAGUAUCAAAGUGAUAAAAGAUACAAGGAUUUAUUUAUUUAUUUAUGUGUUGUAGGCUGUAACUCGAGUGAAGCCAUACAUCUGCACCAUGCCACUGAGGAUGGAUGAGGGCUGGAAUCAAAUCCAGUUUAAUCUAGCCGAUUUUACCAGGAGAGCCUAUGGAACAAACUAUGUGGAGACAUUGCGAGUUCAGGUUCAUGCGAAUUGCCGCCUGAGGAGGAUAUAUUUCUCUGACCGCUUGUACUCCGAAGAGGAACUUCCGCCUGAGUUUAAGUUGUACCUUCCAAUGCAGGUAAAGAUCGAUCCAAUCUCUUAAUGAAAACAAUUAUGUUUCUGUACCUUCUCGUUUCAUGUCCACUCUCUCACAUGCUAAUAAUGUAUUUGCUGCACAGAAAGCAUGACAUGAUGCAACAAAGGAGGGAUCAAACCCAUUGGAGCUGGAUUUUGAGUGUUCAGAUGGCAAUCUUUGCUAGUGCCAGUUUUAUAAAAAUUAGAAAGGAAAAAAAAAACUCAGUUGUACUAGAGCAUGUUUUUAUGUCUGUCAUACAUAGUAAAAAUAUGUACGAACUCUAUUUGUGGAGACUGGAGAGUAAUGUGUCGGGAUCAGAAUGCAUCUAAGCAUGAAGUAGAACUAAAUGCAAUAUUUUUUGGAUUAAUCCUUCCAGUAUAUCUUUCCCUUGACCCCUCUUCCUGUAUAUCUUCCCUUCACCCCCCACCCCCCACCCCCCAUCUGGAAUUAUGGUGAUUGUUGAUUGCUUGGCAGAAACUGGACUUCUGCUGCGGUUAAAUGAUGCAUUUCCCCGACAAUGGAGUUUAGUUUCUAUGAUCUUUCAAAUGUUGUCCGAAAGAUGAGAAAUUCAAAACUCUGUUUGGUUGUCAAUUUUGACACAAAUCCAUGUACUGUGAGUGUUAAGAUUUAAGGACGGAUUCUUGACCCACUGCUAGCAAUAUUAAUAUUGCCCCUCAACUUAACCAUAUGUUUAGCAAUAUUGAUAUUAUCCACAACUUAAUCACUUGUUUAGC
rnacentral:lncRNA from 1 species